rnacentral:misc_RNA from 1 species
CGGUGUCGCUUUCCGCGACGACAGUGACGUUACCUUCACGGUCGCGAACCUGGCGACCCCGUUCGUAUUCGGCCGCGACACGACCGGCUACACGGUCGGUGGCGGCCUGGAAUACAUGUUCGCCCAGAACUGGUCGGCCAAGAUUGAAUACCAGUACUAUGAUUUCGGCCGCACCAACUUCUCGACCGUGGCAGGAUCCACCACGCCUGUGGCCUUCAGCUACAGGGAUGAUCUCCAUACUGUGAAGGUUGGGGUGAACUACCACUUCAAUUGGGGCGGCCCGGUCGUCGCCAAGUACUGAUAGCGUAAGCCUCCUCUCCUCCCGCGUUGAAAACUUAAACCCGGCCUUGCGCCGGGUUUUGGUUUUGACGGGUGCAAGGUCUGGCAGACGCCGUAACUAUGCCGACGCGGACCGUGUGAGAUAUCGCUUACGCGGAAUG